UUAGCAUUUAGAUAUUAUGCUAUUUUGUCUGAAUAAUGAAUUUAUUUAGGUCGCAUGUAUAUAAGGACAGUGUACAUAAAAAAUAAUAGUAAGGACUCUGUCCGGUCAUUAAAAACCUGAAUCAGGGAAAUAAAAAUUUUUUAAACGCGAUCACAAAAUUUUGAUCAGUUAUAAAAAUGUUUCGAAAAAAUAGGUAUCAUUAUUUUUAUUUAUUUGUACAAAUAACGCGAACACAUUUGAUUGUUUUUUGAUCUUUACUAUUAUAAAUAAUGUCAAAAAUAUUAUAUUCUGGGAUAGUGAAAUUUAAAAUAAUACUUUGCAGAAAAGAAUUCAACAAAUUAUUUUUUUUUAGUCAUCGACGAAAUGGUUCAAAUUCAUAUUCAUAUAAGAUAAAUAAAUAUAAAGAUGAAUAUGUAAAAUCAAAUAUUGAAUUAUUAUAUUUUAUGGACUGAUAGUUUCGUGAUUAUGCAUCAAAGUUUUUUAAGUACAAAGGCGCACUUAAAUUAUUUUAACGUUUACAUACAUAUAUGCAAUGCGGAGUCUACACGGGCUUAUUGAUUGUCAUGCCAGAGGUUUGUUUUGGGGAAGCUCCAUUCUUUUCUUCUAACUAAAAAUGUAUCGGAGAUUUAGAGAGAAGUAAAAUUAUUCAAAACGACUUGAGUGAAUAAAAUCUUGAAACAGAUUUAACGCGUUCGCGUGUCAAGUACGAAAUUGAUAUCAAUUUUAUUUGAAAGAGAAAUCUGUUAAUUGAAAAUAUUUUACGUACAUCUAUACCACGCGAUAAUUAAUACCAAAGUUUGUUAAUGUGAGUCGAGUUAAUGAAGUUAUAUAUACGUUUAAUUUCGACACGUAACGAUAUUGAAAAUCUUUCUGACUUGUUACGAAUUUUAAUACCCGGAUAAUAUUCUUUAUCUAGAAUUAGAAUCUGCUGGGAUUUUCGCGUCAGCAUUUUUAUUUUUAAUACAUUUUAUAAUCCUAUAUAUUUUUAUGUUUUUUGGAAAAAUUGUUGUAGAAUCAACUAAGGUAGCAGACCUAGUACCCGAUCAGGGAACUAGUACCCGAUCACUUCAUGUAUUUGUGUAGAUAUAUUUAGUAAAAUUUAGUAAAUAUAGAUAUACAAAUACAUGAGUGAUCGGGUACUAGUUGGGUACUAUAUAUUAUAUAGUAUAUAUUUUUAAGAAUGAGGUUAAAGCUUUAA